rnacentral:rRNA from 1 species
AGAACGAACGCUGGCGGCAGGCCUAACACAUGCAAGUCGAACGCGUGUAGCAAUACACGAGUGGCGCACGGGUGAGUAACACGUGGGAACCUACCCAGAGGUGCGGAAUAACUGCGGGAAACUGCAGCUAAUACCGCUAUUACCCUAAGGGGGAAAGAUUUAUCGCCUUUGGACGGGCCCGCGUCUGAUUAGCUAGUUGGUGAGGUAAUGGCUCACCAAGGCAACGAUCAGUAGCUGGUCUGAGAGGACGACCAGCCACACUGGAACUGAGACACGGUCCAGACUCCUGCGGGAGGCAGCAGUGGGGAAUAUUGGGCAAUGGAGGAAACUCUGACCCAGCCAUGCCGCGUGGGUGAUUGAAGGUCUUCGGAUUGUAAAGCCCUUUCAGCGGGGACGAUGAUGACGGUACCCGCAGAAGAAGCCCCGGCUAACUUCGUGCCAGCAGCCGCGGUAAUACGAAGGGGGCUAGCGUUGUUCGGAUUUACUGGGCGUAAAGGGCGUGUAGGCGGCCCGUUUAGUCAGGCGUGAAAUGCCCAAGCUCAACUUGGGAGAUGCGCUUGAUACUGGCGGGCUUGAAUCCGGGAGAGGAUGGUGGAACUCCCAGUGUAGAGGUGAAAUUCGUAGAUAUUGGGAAGAACACCCGUGGCGAAGGCGGCCAUCUGGACCGGUAUUGACGCUAAGGCGCGACAGCGUGGGGAGCAAACAGGAUUAGAUACCCUGGUAGUCCACGCCGUAAACGAUGAGUGCUAGACGUUGGGGGGCCUAGCUUCCCAGUGUCGCAGCUAACGCAUUAAGCACU